AAUUACUGAAGGAAGUGCUCGAAACAGAGAGAACAUGAUAACAGAAGACUUCAGGACCUCGGGAGGAAAUAAAGAAAACUUGCUCAGGGAACCACUGGACUUUGUAUCUGUGGAAGAAGGGGGAAGAGACCACUGACUGCAUUUCUGUCCCUGGGCUGAAAAGGAUGCUAUGUCAGAGAACCAUUCCAGCAAACUUCAAAGGGUUGAAUUCACACAGAGAGGGAACUGGAGACUGCUGACUGUGGUGUAUAAAGUCAUCGACUGAAGAGGACCAAGGAGCUUAUCUGAAGGAGGUGCAUCCUUCAUCCUUUCCCCACUCAAGGGACUGAAACCAGGCUCUCCCACAGUGCCUGGCCCAUGGCUGGCCCUGGGCAUCUCACAUUCGUCGUUUGCAGCGAUAACAGAGGAGUGACGGUCUUGUGUGCAGGCCUGAAUGCCAGGGCAUCUCACAGAAGUUUCACUGCUGUGAUGGCAAAUUUUGUGUGUCAACUUGGUGAGGCCACGGUACCCCCUUGUCUGGUCAAAAACCAUCUAGACAUCGCUGUGGAGGUAUUUUUUAGGUACGAUUAAUGUUUAAAUCAGUAGACUUUGAAUAAGGCGGAGCUGAUGACCCUCCAUAACAUGGGUGGGCCUCAUCCAAUCAGUUGAGGGCCUUAAGAGAAAGGACUGAGGUUCCCUGAAGAGGAAGGAAUUCUGCCUUCAGACUGCAACAUAGAAAUUCUGCCUGAGGUUUUAGCCUUUGGACUCAAGACUACAACAUUGACUCCUGCUGGAAUUUCCAGGCUGCCAAGAUGCCCUGUAGAUUCUGGACUAUCUGUCUAUCUAUCACCUAUCUAUCUAUCUAUCUAUCUAUCUAUCUAUCUAUCUAUCUAUCAUCUAGCUAGCUGGCUAUCUAUUUAUCUAUCUAUCUACCAUCUAGCUAACUGGCUAGCUAUCUAUCUACCUACAUAUAUAUAUACAUACAUACAUCUUAUUGGUUCUGUCUCUUUGGAGAACCCUGAUUAACACCAUUGCCAUAACCUGGAGCAACCACCCCAAAAUGUAGUGCCUUAAAGCAGCAUUUUAUUAUCUUUCAUGAUUCUGUGGGUUGACUGGACUCAACUGGACCAGUUUUCUGUUCCACAAGGCCUUGGCAGAAGAGGCUAGUUAUCUGGGGCUCCGCUGAGCUGGAGUCUCCAAGACUCCCUCCUCAUAUAGCUGACAGCUGGUGCUGCCUGCUGACUGGCACCCCAGCUGAGCUAUCCUCAGGGUGCUUGGUUCCCAUCCACGUGCCAUGUGACCCAAGCUUCUGGUAUCAUGGAAGCUGAGGUCCAAAAGCAAGUAAGCAGAAGCCACCAGCCCACUUAAGGUCUGGACUCGGACGUCCCAGAACACACUUCUGUAGGAGUCCUUUGGUCAAGGCAGUCACAGGACCCGCCCAGGCUGGGGAGGGGAAUAGAUCCUACAUCUCAAUUGAUGCGUAAAGGAAGGAAUGAAUUGAUGGUGGCCAUGUUUGGAAACUAUCAACCACACCAAGUAUAUUUCCCCUAUUUUACCCUGAAAAAACCAACAAUACAUAAGCAUAUUAUGUUAUUUAUAUCUAUUUGGGAACACUUAAAGAUGUUUCUUUAGCUGCCAUUUUUCUCUGCCCACUUCCAAAGAGGAUGUGUAGUCGCUUUUAGUGAAUGUAAUACAGUAAUUGCACAGUUGGCAUCAAAAUAAAGAUUAGAAAAAGCCAUGUAGAGAUAAGAGAAAAGCACGCUAGAGAAAAGCUUGACUAAAAUUGUUACUGCAAUGGGGCCUCCAUUCACUGAGUUCCUGCAUGCCCGGAAAGGGGAAGCUAGCCUUUACCAAAAUAUUCCAUUUGAUUGAAGGGACCAGGGCCUGCCAAUGGGAGAACCUCAAGAGGUAGGAACUUAUAAAUGACUUAUAAAUAACAACAGCGUAGAAACAAUCCCUCAACCACAGAUGCAGAGCAUUCUUCUCCCAGAAAAGGGAUCACAUUACAGAGCUAGAGUCCUGCUGAGGGGAGUUAAAACAGUAGGAACCAAACCAAUGUCUGGGCCCCUUGCCGCCGACCCCUCAGAGCCCAGUCUCGGAGCAUAGGCUGGUUCCCAGACUUUUUGAAAAUUCUUCUGAAGACCGGUGAGCACCCAGGCCUGUGUUUGUGCUGAAUUCCCUGCUGUCCAGCUCCUGGUAGUAAUUGGAUGAGAUGCUUGAUAACUGAGCAAGGUUGAUAUCACAUCAGGCAGUGACUCCAGGCUCUUCUGGAACCUCCGGAGCUCUGGAUUACUGGACAGUGCAUGUGGCACUCCAUCCAGACAUGAAGGUUGGUGGGAGGGCCACAGCGGAAAUUCCGAAGAAGGCAAUUAAAAUGUGUUAACCAAAACAGGAAACAUUGGUGAGGUAGAUGAGAGCGUUUUACUUCAGAGGUGUGAUUUUAUCAAUACUUCUAUUGUUCAAAAACUCAUAUUUUAUUUUUAGAGGUAUUUUCCCAAACAAGCCCAAACUUUACUUCUCACUCAUUCUAAAUUCUUGUGUCUUUUUCAUGCUUGCAUUUGGGGCAAGAUUGGGACAAAACACAGAACACUUUGUUCAUGUUGGAGUGUCACGUUCUUUUUUAAAAGCACAAAAGGAUUUUUUACUGGUCAAGAGAUGCUGUUUCCUGAAGGAGAGAGGGCAUCAGGCCAAAGCACUGGUUUAAUCAAAAAGAUUUAGGAAGGAGUGAACAUCUUUUUUCUGUGGUGACCAAAAUGAUCUCUGACCACUAGCAAACUCAUAGCAUCGGUACGCAGUGUGACAGAUUUUCAAAGCCACCAACUUCUCCAGAUCCAAGAUGGUUCUGUGCCCAUACUCAGUGGAUCCAUGGCAAAUUCACUGAAUGUGAGAAUUAGAACCUUCCAAAGAACAAGUAUGUUAGCCAAUGAUCAUCAUUAUCAUCUUUUUCUAUUUUUCGGUCCUAAGAAAUUUGGGACAAAAUUAAA